UGAAAAUUAUAAUCCAAAGCUGUCAGAUUCCAACUGUGUAAACCAUGUUGCUAGAUCGGGUUAUACCGGGGAGCAUGAAAAGUUGGCAUACGGUUAUAUUGCUACAGAGUUGUUUUUUAGUAGCAGAGUCUCUUUCAAAACCGAUGUCUAUAGUUUUGGUGUUGUUUUGGUUGAGUUGAUCUCUGGGCGGAAGGCAAUUGAUAGAACCCGAACCAGCGGUGAAAUCUGUAUGGCUUUAUGGGCACGACGGUUACUCCGUAGUAAGAAGUUCAAAGAAAUAGCUGACCCGCUCAUGAAAGGACAGUAUCCAUAUCGCGGACUUGUCCAAGCUCUUGGGCUUGUGAAGAUGUGUAUACAUCGAAAGUUUAUCAAAAGACCUCCUAUAGCAGAAGUUGUGACUACUCUUUCGAAAAUAGCCUCACAAAUUUACGAAGAAGAACGGGGUACAACCGAAGCUGGUGUACAACGGAAUCUGGUCAAUUUACUCCAUCAACCAUGCUGCAGGACACAAGUAGUAGUAGAGUAGGUUAAAUUAGGAGGUAAGUGGUUUAGUAAAGUUACUGUAAAAUGAUGUGGGACUGCUGUAUAAUGGUUGAUAAUUCAAACCCGACCUUUCUGUAAUGAAGUUACUCUUUUAUUAGGCUGGAAUUUGUUGGUAA